rnacentral:lncRNA from 1 species
AGACUGCCAUUAUCUCAUUUCCUUGAAGGGUUCUUUAUAAAAUCUUUGGAAGAUACCACAGUGUAAGGAUAAUCCUUUAUAAUUUCAUUAAUCCAAGUCGCUAAAGCUUAUUCUAGGUUAUAUGUAGGAGCUCUAUACUUCUCAACUAUUGGCCUAAGGACAAAGGAGUUUUAUGAGUCUUAGCAAAGCUGAAUAGCCUGGGUGAAGCUGGAUUCGCUAUUGUAUUAACUUUCAAAAAUCCCGAUAGGUCUUUAUGCUUCAAGAGCUUGUUCACUCUCCUUUCUAUUGCUUUUGUGGGGUCUCUUUCUAGAACUUCUGCUUUAGAGUCUUUUAUAUAACUUUUUAGUUCAUUCUCGAAAGCUCGUUUUUAACUAUAACCACCUUUUUACUUUUAUCCUCUCUAGUGAUUAUCAUUUGAUUCUGUAUCAUCCAGUCUGUGGCUUCCUUAAUCUGCGCCCUCUCUAUCCUUCGAUCUUCUUUUGAACUUUCUAUUCUUGAACUCACUUACCACCGACCAAUGUGUUCUUUCUUUCUCUAGUUCAUCCAUACCUUGCACAAGCCUCUCAAAAGGUGAGAUAAUAUCCAUAUAGCUUUCUACAGUUUUUACAGUAUAUGAAGGAUAAGUAUAUGAGCUUCAGUAUACUUAUUAAUACUUUGGAAGCUCAACGUCACCCACUACUGUCACCACUUCCUGUAGCUCAAAGCCAGUUUUAACUCUUGUUCCCUUUAAUUGACUUUUAAACAGCCAUCUCAGCUUUUUAAUGUGCUAUUGUCUAAGAGUCUGCCUGUAUUGUUCUAAUUCAAUUCUAUAUGUUCUAUCCACAUUGUUAUAAUCUUCCCCACACUGUCUACCUAUCUCCGUCAACUGCAUCUUAAGCCUAAACAUCUUUCUCUUACUUUCCGUUAUAGCUGGUUUUAAGCAUAUUCUUCUAGUAUUAUUCAAAAUUUUUUUGGAAUAAUACUAGAAGAAUAUGCUUAAAACCAGCUAUAACGGAAAGUAAGAGAAAGAUGUUUAGGCUUAAGAUGCAGUUGACGGAGAUAGGUAGACAGUGUGGGGAAGAUUAUAACAAUGUGGAUAGAACAUAUAGAAUUGAAUUAGAACAAUACAGGCAGACUCUUAGACAACAGCACAUUAAAAAGCUGAGAUGGCUGUUUAAAAGUCAAUUAAAGGGAACAAGAGUUAAAACUGGCUUUGAGCUACAGGAAGUGGUAACAGUAGUGGAUGACGUUGAGCUUCCGAAGUAUUAAUAAGUAUACUGAAGCUCAUAUACUUAUCCUUCAUAUACUGUAAAAACUGUAGAAAGCUAUAUGGAUAUUAUCUCACCUUUUGAGAGGCUUGUGCAAGGUAUGGAUGAACUAGAGAAAGAAAGAACACAUUGGUCGGUGGUAAGUGAGGUCAAGAGUAGAAAGUUCAAAAGAAGAUAGAAGGAUAGAGAGGGCGCAGAUUAAGGAAGCCACAGACUGGAUGAUACAGAAUCAAAUGAUAAUCACUAGAGAGGAUAAAACUAAAAAGGU